rnacentral:rRNA from 1 species
GAUGAACGCUAGCUACAGGCUUAACACAUGCAAGUCGAGGGGCAGCAUGUUGGUUGCUUGCAACCAACGAUGGCGACCGGCGCACGGGUGAGUAACGCGUAUCCAACCUGCCCUUGUCCAUCGGAUAACCCGUCGAAAGGCGGACUACCCCGAUAUGCAGUUCUCAGCAGGCAUCUAACGAGAACGAAAUGUAAAGGAGAAGGAUGGGGAUGCGUCUGAUUAGCUUGUUGGCGGGGUAACGGCACACCAAGGCGACGAUCAGUAGGGGUUAUGAGAGGAAGGUACCCCACAUUGGAACAGAGACACGGUCCAAACUCGUACGGGAGGAGGCAGUGAGGAGUAUUGGUCAAUGGGCGAGAGCCUGAACCAGCCAAGUAGCGUGCAGGAUGACGGCCCUGUGGGUUGUAAACUGCUUUUAUACGGAGAUAAAGUUAGCCACGUGUGGCUUAUUGCAGGUACCGUAUGAAUAAGGGCCGGCUAAUUCCGUGCCAGCCGCCGCAGUAAUAC